AUCAGAGCCAACUCGAUCUGAAUCAGAGUCGGCUCUAUCUGGAUCCGAGCUAGCUCGACAGCUGUGUCAUCCACUGAUGCUAGAAAUACAGCUCUCUGUCUGUUGUCCGAGCCGGCUCUCUCAGAGCUCGAGCCGACUUGACUGCUGAAUGAUACUCCUGAUGCUUCCUUCAUAUCUUGUCCUUUCCUCAUCAGUUCUCAA
rnacentral:lncRNA from 1 species